GACGAACGCUGGCGGCGUGCUUAACACAUGCAAGUCGAACGGAAAGGCCCUGCUUUUGUGGGGUGCUCGAGUGGCGAACGGGUGAGUAACACGUGAGUAACCUGCCCUUGACUUUGGGAUAACUUCAGGAAACUGGGGCUAAUACCGGAUAGGAGCUCCUGCUGCAUGGUGGGGGUUGGAAAGUUUCGGCGGUUGGGGAUGGACUCGCGGCUUAUCAGCUUGUUGGCGGGGUAGUGGCUUACCAAGGCUUUGACGGGUAGCCGGCCUGAGAGGGUGACCGGCCACAUUGGGACUGAGAUACGGCCCAGACUCCUACGGGAGGCAGCAGUGGGGAAUAUUGCACAAUGGGCGGAAGCCUGAUGCAGCAACGCCGCGUGCGGGAUGACGGCCUUCGGGUUGUAAACCGCUUCCGCCUGUGACGAAGCGUGAGUGACGGUAAUGGGGAAAGAAGCACCGGCUAACUACGU
rnacentral:rRNA from 1 species